UGUCGAUAAAUGAAAGCUGCACUGAAAAAAAGAAAUAGCUGAACCAGUUUUGCUAUUUGCAAAUUUCUUUAAUAGAUACCAAACUUUGGUUGUAAUUAUCUAAACCAAUGUAACUGCAUGUCCCAAACCAGAUAAGCUAAUCAGUUCUUGAUAAUCAGUAAUCAAAAUGUUAGCUAUUAUUUAUUAAAAUAAACCAGUCAAACUACUUUAGCUGCAAGAACAAACUGUUUCAUAGCUGGUAACCGAACAUAUGUACUUAAAUUUAAUACAAUGUUGAUUAAAACAUUGUCAUGAAUUUAUUUAUAGAUAACACAAUCAAAGUCAUUAUUUGGACAUUCAUCAAUUUAUUUAUUUGUAGUAAACUUUUCUAGCAGCCAUUAAAUCAUCAUUUGAUUAAUAUUUGCCUAGGUAUGUCGAAUGUAUGAAGUUAAAAUAAAAAUGUAAGUAUUAUCACAAAACUGUUUAACAAUAUUUAAUUAAAAUAUUGUUAAAACUAGUUGGCACUGUUGGCAGCACUGCGUCCGAGUCAGUACAUUAAAGUUAUAUGCGAUUCACGUUAGAACUCGUUCUCUGCGUUCGGUCAUUAUUGUGUGGCUUGGCUGGUGAAGGCGGCAAAUCGAAUUGAUUUUCACAUUCCUAUUGUUUUCGGGAGAUUUGUAGCGACAUUAUGUAUAUAAAAAAACUUAGUAAACGUGUUUUCGUAAUAAAUAGUGCAAUGGCAGACGGUCAAGACGAGACCUCCGCUGAUCCUAUGAGUGACUAUUUGCGCUUAUGGGGUCUUGAAAUGUACAUAAAUUUGUUCAAAGCAUAAUAUCCAUGAUGAUAGCAUCCCUGCAUCAUCGCAUCAUCAAAUGCUGUGUGUAUCAAUAACUUGCCAAUCCUUACUGAUAGCAUCAUACAUUACCUACUAGUAUAUUGCUGAAUCAGGACUUGAAAACUUACAGAACUUGGAUAAAUAUACAGAAUGAGGAAGUACCAAACUUAAAUACAAAUGGAGUAUACAACACUUUGAGUUCAUGUAAUGAAGGAAAAGGACUACUUCUUCGCUACAAAGAAAAUGGAAUGAAUUCCUGAAAGUUAAUUCUUCUAAGUAUCUUCGCGGCGCCUCUCCCGGUGUGCACUGAAUUAUAUAAAAUGAAGAAAACAGACUAUGAAUGUUAUGUUAAAUUUUAAACUCAAGUAAUGUGUUUGACAUUAAUUUGGGCUAAGCAAUGUCUUAUUAAUAUUUGGUUAACUAUUCUUUAUUUUUAUUAGCCCUAUUUAUGUUUUAUAAUAUAUUGGUGUUUGAUUACCAGUUAUUAUACAAUGGAGAUACUACAGCGUAUGUAACUUAAAUUUAAUAAUCUGGAUUUUCUUGAGUGAAUGACAAGACAUUAAAUUGUGUUAUUUUAUUUUUUUGAACAUUUUAAAUAAAUAAUUCAAAAAAAUUACUUAUAUAAUAUACAUUUUUUUAUUCAUUAUUGCACUUAGCCCGUUAUCCCUAUGUUAAGGUGGCUGUUAGACCUGUAUAUACAUCCACAAGGCAGGACACCAUUUGAUAAUAUUAUUGGGAUUUACUGGAUUGAUAUGAUUAAUCAUAUCAAUCCAGUACAUCCCAAUAAUAUUGAAGGUGGCCUGUAGAUCCAGGUCCAAUAGCAGAUCUAGGACCAGCUACUGGUAAAUAAACCAACAGGAGCAGGUAAACAAACAAUGCUGUUACCUCCACAUAAAGUGUUUGUCUACUAGUAAUGAAACAGAUUAGCAAGAGAUAACCACACCUUAACAUUAAUUAUUAAACAAAUAAUUUAAUAUUUCUUACUGAACUGUUAGAUUUACUAGUUAUUUAACACUUUAGCUUUAAUUAGCCAAAGUAACUUUGCUAAAGCAACUUUACCGGAGCACUAUUGACAGCCAAACAGUUUAGUUCAAAUAACAAAACUAAGUUAUCACCAGUUACCUAAAAGAAGUUAAUAUAAUAUUACUAAACUCUGUUUACAAAACAUGUUUUAGUUACUUGUAGCCCUCAGUUUAGUAGUCACUCGAUUUUGGUGAUAUGCAGCUAAACUUUUAGCUACUAGCAACCAUUUUUUUUUUUCAGUGUGUUUUAAUUAAGUUG